UCAGAAGUAGCUCAGUUGGUAGAGCACCAGACCCUCUAAGCCGGUGACCUAGGUUCGAAUCCUAGCUUCUGAC
rnacentral:tRNA from 1 species